UACGUAGGGCGCAAGCGUUGUCCGGAAUUAUUGGGCGUAAAGAGCUCGUAGGCGGUCUGUCGCGUCGGAUGUGAAAGCCCGGGCUUAACCCCGGGUCUGCAUUCGAUACGGGCAGACUAGAGUGUGGUAGGGGAGAUCGGAAUUCCUGGUGUAGCGGUGAAAUGCGUAGAUAUCGAGAGGAACACCUGCGGCGAAGGCGGGUUGCUGGGCUGACACUGACGCUGAGGCGCGAAAGCUAGGGGAGCGAACGGG
rnacentral:rRNA from 1 species